UUUCAGAGGCUCAUGGCUGUUCCUCUUGAGGAGAAGACCAUGGCCCAGUUAGACAUGCACUCAAGUCAGCUGAUCUGAAUCAUUCCUGCCAAAGGAGGAGCAACACGCCAAAAGACUGCUGACAUAUGGACACUUUGGACCAGACUGAGGACAUUCAUCUUCGGAGGGAGUGUGUCCUGAAAGCCCUCAUCAUCUUCCUGGAAGAAGAGAGACAAGAUGACCUGAUCAAGGAAUAUCUUGACUCUAGAGCAGAUGAGGGGCCUGGAGCAGCUCACCAUGGCAGUGUUUGUCAUUUGGAAGGAGGGGGAAGGACUGCAGGAGCCACCUGAAGACAAUGGCAUUGUCACUGACGGCGUGGAGCUGUGCAUGAACUGACUUAAGUUGCCUCAGAUUGUACCCUGCUUCUAGGUUUGAUAUAUUCACUCAACCUAGCUUAUCCAGAACCCCUUCAUUUCACUUUUGAAGUAGUACAAGCAGCACAAGAUGUCCCCCAAAGUCCAAAAUCUGUGUGGCAGACUUCAAAACUUGCAGUAAUGAUACACUACGAUAUAUUCCUCCUCUGGGCUAUAAAAUGGCCUAGUGCCAUAUUGUGGAAGCACAAUGGUGUUUAAACACAGAACAUGUAAAAAUAAAGCCUCUUUUGGAUGUUGGAUCUUUGUAUGCACCAAGAGACAGUCAAGAGACACAACAAAUAUUCCAUAAACCAAAAUGUGAAAGCUUUUUUAACAGGUUUUUGUAGGUGCAGAAGUUAUCGUUUUAUCCAAACAUGUUUCUUUCUAUUUGUGGUGAAAGGUUGCAUUUCAGUUUUGAUGUGUUCCAAAAAACAGUUGCAUAUCACACAGUAUCUGUAGAGCAGAAGCUAUGUUAAUGGUUAGAGCUCCCAGGAAGAACUCACUGUGGUGUUAAUAUGUUGGUUUUAUGUGUUGUAUGUCUAUUUACCACAAAUGUGUACCGUUAACAUCACUGCUGACAAUUUUCAAGAGCAUACCACAGCAUGUAUGUUAGAAUGUAACGCAUUUCCCUCCUUCCAGGAAGCCAUUGGUUUCAGUGAGUAUUAGUACUAGUA